rnacentral:rRNA from 1 species
CGUGUAGGCGGCCAGGUAGGUCGGUUGUGAAAACUAGAGGCUCAACCUCUAGACGUCGACCGAAACCAUCUGGCUAGAGUCCGGAAGAGGAGAGUGGAAUUCCUGGUGUAGCGGUGAAAUGCGCAGAUAUCAGGAAGAACACCCGUGGCGAAGGCGGCUCUCUGGGACGGUACUGACGCUGAGACGCGAAAGCGUGGGAGCGAACA